GGCUGAGAAGUCAGAACCCCCACCUUUGCUACAUAAAUAACCGCUUAUGCGCCCCACCCUAACCGCUUUCAUUUCGCUUCUGUAAAACCGCUUAUGCGCCCCACCCUAGCCGGAAAGUCCCCAGCCGCUACGCAACCCGGGCCCCGAGUUGCAUCAGCCGCUUCGCAACCCGGGCUCCGAGUUGCAUCAGCCGAAAGAAACUUCAUUUCCCAAGCUUCCCCGGGACGAAAUUACCCACAACCCCAACCACCACCGAGCAGAGAGCCUAUCGCCAGCCUGUAUGCAAAUGUAACUCAAAAUGGUAUAAAAGACCUGUAACCCCGUUUAUCGGGGCUCUCCCGCUUUCCAACACUGGGGAGCCCUGGUGCACCAGUAAAGACUCUCUGCCGACGUCGGAGUGCCGUGUGGUUCUUUGCGCCAACUCUCAUUCCAUAGGGCUUAGGAGCUUGGCUCCUAACAUUUGGUGCGUUGGCCGGGAAUCGAGGGAAGGCGAGAGAGCCCCGGCCCCGUCGGUGGAUGACUCUCCGGCCCGGGCCACUGACGGACUGACUGAAGACAGACUUCUGUGCCUUUGUCUGCACACAGGUAGGAGACUCCGUGUACGUCCGGCGGCACCGCUCUCAAGGAUUGGAGCCUCGUUGGAAGGGACCUUACAUCGUCCUGCUGACCACGCCCACCGCAGCAUUCACCACCGGAGCUACAGGCCUAGGUGUCUCCGUCACCCAGUAUACAAAAUUAUCCCAUCAGUUAAUAUCUGAUGUCCAAGUCUUAUCCGGUACCAUACAAGAUUUACAAGACCAGGUAGACUCGUUAGCUGAAGUAGUUCUCCAAAAUAGGAGGGGACUGGAUCUACUAACGGCAGAACAAGGAGGAAUUUGUUUAGCCUUACAAGAAAAAUGCUGUUUUUAUGCUAACAAGUCAGGAAUUGUUAGAGAUAAAAUAAGAACCCUACAAGAAGAAUUACAAAAACGCAGGGAAAGCCUGGCAUCCAACCCUCUCUGGACCGGGCUGCAGGGCUUUCUUCCGUACCUCCUACCUCUCCUGGGACCCCUACUCACCCUCCUACUCAUACUAACCAUUGGGCCAUGCGUUUUCAGUCGCCUCAUGGCCUUCAUUAAUGAUAGACUUAAUGUUGUACAUGCCAUGGUGCUGGCCCAGCAAUACCAAGCACUCAAAGCUGAGGAAGAAGCUCAGGAUUGAGCUUCCGGGACAAAAGCAGGGGGGAAUGAGAAGUCAGAACCCCCACCUUUGCUACAUAAAUAACCGCUUAUGCGCCCCACCCUAACCGCUUUCAUUUCGCUUCUGUAAAACCGCUUAUGCGCCCCACCCUAGCCGGAAAGUCCCCAGCCGCUACGCAACCCGGGCCCCGAGUUGCAUCAGCCGCUUCGCAACCCGGGCUCCGAGUUGCAUCAGCCGAAAGAAACUUCAUUUCCCAAGCUUCCCCGGGACGAAAUUACCCACAACCCCAACCACCACCGAGCAGAGAGCCUAUCGCCAGCCUGUAUGCAAAUGUAACUCAAAAUGGUAUAAAAGACCUGUAACCCCGUU